UGGAGAGGAGGAAGAACCUUGAGCUGGAUUGCCUAAUGGACAGGAUGUGGAAGGCAAUCAAGGUCAUCUUUACCUAUGAUGCCCCCUAGAAUGAUAUUCCCCGGCUCACCUUGGAGGACUUUCGAGAGCUCCCAAUCCUGAGCAAGGCUCAGGCGAGUGGGCAUCAGAGGAUUUGAGUCUGAUUAGGACACCCCCCGGGGAAUAUGUUAAGACUUGUUUGGGUUUGCC
rnacentral:lncRNA from 1 species